UACGAAGGGGGCUAGCGUUGUUCGGAAUUACUGGGCGUAAAGCGCACGUAGGCGGAUAUUUAAGUCAGGGGUGAAAUCCCAGAGCUCAACUCUGGAACUGCCUUUGAUACUGGGUAUCUUGAGUAUGGAAGAGGUAAGUGGAAUUGCGAGUGUAGAGGUGAAAUUCGUAGAUAUUCGCAGGAACACCAGUGGCGAAGGCGGCUCACUGGUCCGAUACUGACGCUGAGGUGCGAAAGCGUGGGGAGCAAACAGG
rnacentral:rRNA from 1 species